GGAAAUUAGUGUGAGGUUUACUGUAUAGGAAAUUUGGGCACUGCAUUCUAUUCUCAGUAGUCUUUGAUACAUGAACCCAUGCAAACCUGUUUCACUCAUUCUGAGGAUGUUUGAGCAGGGAAGAAGAACUGUGUUCCCUGUGGGAAAUCAGACAGCUGUUCACUACUAAGACCGAAGCUUAAAGGAACAGUUUUACUUACUGUUAAUUCUUUCCAUUUACCAGUGCCUCCACUUGUUUAGUGUUAGAAAAUAAUGGUUAAAAUGUGGUCCUGAUACAAAACCAUGGAGACUAUAUAAGAGUAUUUUUUUAACAAACUGGAAAACAAGACUAAAAAAAAAAAAAGUUUCAUUUUGCUAGGAAUAGUUUUCCACUGCACAGAAUAAUGAGUUACGAGUUUCCAAAAUGUAAUGGAGCCCUGGAGCUGCUUCAUCUUUGUCCUUGAAACUUCUGAAAUGCCUGAAUCAAGGUCUAAAGGAAACUUUUCUCCCCCUUCCUUGCAGCUGAGCUUCUCAGAAUCGCAUACACACUUUUCUAUUUUUACUUUCCAGCCUGGGCUCACUUCCAAAUGUGAAACUGUGGGAUUCCUGCACUCCUACAUAUGAGACCCAGACUGAACUCAAAGGACUGACCAGUUUACCUCCCCAACCAGACUACUUUCUUCAUAGUGCACAAUUGAAAUUGGAGUACACUCGGGUUUCCUUACUUUGAAAAAGCUCAGAAGGAGCAUUUACAUCUCCUAGUGAAAGACUGCAGAAUGGAGCUGAAAUUAAGUUAUUAGAGUUCACGAUUUGUCUUGGCCCAGAGCCUAAUCCAGUUUAUAAUCCAAGAUCUAUGUUGGAGUCUCUGCAUCAGGACAUGAGCCAUAGACCCAAGAGAUUUUCACACAAGUGAUCACACCCUUGACAAGCUGGCUGAAGUUCAAUCCUAAAAGGCCAAACAGUUUGUCUGCAAUAGACAGAGAAGAUAAGACUUCCUGACAGAAGUCUCUUCAUUUAAUUGUGUAAUCCUCCACACUGAUCAAGGAAGAAAACUUAGGGUCAUUGCUCAGUGAAUUGCCUUACAAUGCACGACAAUUACAUUGGAAGCAAAACAAAGGUACCAGCUUAUAAAGAGAAAAAGAAAAAAGAAAAAAGAAAAAAAAAAAGGAAAUCUCUAGUUCAGUUGGACAGAUUUGCAAGGAUCUUCGAAAAUGUGAAGGAAAUGGCUUUCUUCAAUCAGUUGUGUCUGUGUGGAGAGUGAAGGUGAAUAGUCUCAGCUCGGGAGGAAUGUAAUUUGGAAAGGUACGAGCAGCUGAGAAGGGAUUCUCAUGGGCACAGCGUUUGAACACUAAAGUGGCGGCUAUCUUUCCCACUGCAAUAAAAGGGAAGCUGGUAACAAUGGUGUGCUAUAAAAAGCAAAGGAACAUUUUUCUUUGUCAAACAACCACACCUCUCUGGCAGUGCUGCUGCUGUUGCUGCAGUACACUGGCUGAAAUCCACUCUGCCUUUGAACUCUACUGUUACAGAAUUUCAAUUAAAACUGAAAACCACACAAAGGUUGUGGGCAUAAAGAAUACCAAAAAGACACAUCCAUACCAUUGAUUGUUUUUGUUUUUCUUGGUCUGAUUAGGAAAUAAUGAUUUAAGCUGAUGGUGAGAUCCCAGGUAUUGCUGUAUAGGAAAAUUUUACCUAAUUAAAGAUGGGGAAGAACUAUAGAAAAUUCUCCAAGAUCAGAGCUGCCAUUCAAAAGAAAAAGUCAUACUGGGGUUCAAAAUCCCUCCAGAAACUGUUUCACUCCAUUAAAAAAAAAAAAAAAAAAAAAAAAAAAAAAAAAAAGUAUUUGAAGCCUGGAGGAAGAAUACUAUUUAAGAGAGUUUUUACCUUAAGUGAUGUACCCAACAAGGCCUUAUGUAUGCUGCAACAAGCUACAGUACCUGCAGGGUGCUUAUCUACCAUGGAAGUCUUCUAUUAUCUCAUUCUUUACAUGAAUGAAAGUUGAAUAAAGUUUCUUCUUUCUCAGAAACCAUUACACUGAUUUGACUGGGUCUGGAAGUAGCAGAAUGUUUUCCACCCAAUUAUUUUCAACUGAUUGAGAAUGUAUUACUUUACUCAUAGGCACUUUGGAGUUUCAAUGACUAUGUGAAGGACAGUACUUCCAGUAACAUUUAGAAACAUUCUGAGUGGAGAGAAGAUGAAAAGAAAAACCAAAACCAAAAACAAAACCACAACCAAGCAAAACACUUAGUUGUUUAAAAAUGCAUCCAUUUUCUCAUGUUUUGUUUUUUUUUUUUUUUCUUCUGGAAAUCAAUGCUGCAAGUUAUUGUUGUUAAUUGUAAUGAGAUCAUAAGUUUAGAAAACAUUCCCUCAUAAAAAAACAAAUGUCUUUUAAUAAAGUAUGAGAAUUGUGGAAUGACUAUUGGUAAUAAAAAUGAAAUCUGACAAAGAAUACAGAAUAGCCACAGUGGGGAUAACAGAUAUAUUUCUUUGGAACUGUUAGCUGCAUUAACAUCAUAUAAAACUGUGUUCUAAGAUAUCUGAGUUCUAUGUGAAGGAUCAUAUGUAAAUUUUAACUAAACUGGAGCCAUUAUAUUAUCAUAGGUACAAUGUGCUAGAUAGAAGGCUGUUUCACAUCCACUGAAUAGAUGUGUAUGUUCAUGCAUGUAUGCAUAGCUGUAUGUCUAUAAAUAUAUUCAUAUGUUUAGAGAAAACUUGAACUGGUGGAAAACUGAAAGGACAGGAAGAAAGCAUAGUUUGACUAAAAAGAUAGUUGUUCCAUCUUUCUGUUUCUUUAUUCACCAUAUUUACAUUUUAAUCAGAAGUUGGACUCAAUCCUUAGGCAUCCCUUCCAACACGGGAUAUUCUAUGAUUCUAUGAUUCUAUAUUUAUUUCCCUGCUCACUUCUUUUGUAUAAAACCUACUUUCUAAUUCAGUUGGGUAACUCAUCUUUAAUAUUAUUUUAACAGAUCUUGUCUUACUUUCAUGGAGUAGUCACAGCAAAGGUUGCAUUGUAAAAGAAAAUUGCCUCACUACUGCACUGGGUUUUCUAAUUACUAUAUCUGGUACCACCAUUGGAUAUUUGGAGAAGAAGAAAAGAGAGAGGAAAGAGAGACCACUGUUAAUCACCCCUUACUAGUAGUUGAGGCCCUCAACUUGUUAUUUAAUUUUCAGUUUUACAUACCUCGAUUUCAGAAAACAAAUGAUAGAAAAAGAACCUCAGCUGCAUACCCCGGCUUGCAGGCAAACCUCUUCUAUAAAUAUGUGACCAUUUUAUGAAACUGUAUGGAAGAGAAAAUACGACUAUGAACUUAUGAACAUGUCGAGUGUUUCCCAAAAGAGUUUUAUGGUUUUAUGAUCUAUGAGUUGAAUCAACUCAAAGGAAACUUGAUUUUAUUAAGAACAGCAUCUCAGAACUCAUCUGUGGGUUUGGAUUUCCAACACACUCCUGUAAAUUUGUUGAAUUAUUUAUUUGCAGUGAUGAGACGAGAACAGGAUUCUUCAAGUGGGCUGUACAGUUUGCAUGUCUUACAAAAAAUCUGAUCCAGAAAGACAGAUCUCCAUCAUUCUUAUAUAAGUCUUUUAUAAAUUUGCCCACUGUUAUUGUAAAAUUAGUCUUUUUACAGGAGUGAAAUUUCAAAUUGCUGAAACACUUUCCUGUAGAAUCAUGAAGUGAGAAGAAAAAAUUGAGAAGUAUUUCUGCCUGUAUGAGGAAACACAUGAGCACUGAUACAGAAGGUAUCAAGCCAGCUUGCUGACCAUUGCUUCUAGGACAGCUGGAAGGUCAUGGGAAAUAUUCCACUUCACCAUUCCAAAAUCCUUGCCAUUCCAGUUUGCCUCUUUUCAUUAUUUUUAUUAUACAGAAGCCCAGCAUGUUGUUAGGUCUUUGACAAGGAUUUGAACAAAAUUUAAUAUAUAACUACAUUAUUGAAGGAGUCAUAGAAUUAUAGAAUCAUAGAAUGGUUUGUCUUGGAAGGGUUUCUUAAGAUCCCUAGUUCCAACCUCUCUGCUAUAAGCAGGGACAUCUCCUACUAGACCAGGUUCCUACAUGCCCUCAUAAAAAGUGGCCUGAUAGCUGCCUUUCAGUAUCUAAGGGAGACCUACAGGAGAGAAGGGGACAGACUCUUUGGCAGGGUCUGUGAUGAUAGAAAAAGGGGAAAUGAUUUCAAACUAAAAGAGAGGAUAUAAGGAAAAAGUCUUUUACAGUGAGGAUGGUGAGGCAUUGUAACAUAUUUCCCUGAGAAAUGGUGGAUUCCCUCUCCCUGGAGACACUGAAGAUCAGGUUGGAGGAGUUCUAAGCAACAUGAUCUACCUUUGGAUAUCCUUUUUCAUUGCAAGGAUGACCGUUAAGGGUUCCUUCCUACUCAAAUGAUAUAUGAACUUGAGCACACCCUUUCUUUCUUCCACGAUUACCCACGGAAUAUGAAAGUAAUAGAAUGUCUACUGCAUACUUGCUUUCCUUACCCCUGCCUCUCCCCAGGUUUUGCAGAUUGUAUCUGCAGUUGCAUUUUUCAUCACUUCCUCUUGAGAUUGUGGGAAAGUGAGGACAAAGUAUGACAUUAAAAACAAUUUGACUCUAAAAGGAAAAAAUAAACCAGACUAUUGCUAGGAAAACAUUAUUGAAAAUCCUAUGAAAAUAUAAAUACAAUUUAUUUUGGUAUCCUUAAUCCUCUUAAAAUGGAAGAAUUAAGCCCAAGAAGCUGUUUAACUGCAUGUAGAAAUCAUGGUGAAUUUAUCUUCAUUGGGUGACCUCAUCAAAUUAUUCUCCACUGCUGUGAUUUUUUUUGAAGACAGCUCAAUAACAUUUGACUCCCAGUUCCCAUUAGAAUUUAAUGAGAACUGGGCCUCUAAGUCCCCCAGAUUCCUUUGAAAAUAACCCAGCCUAUGAUAAAAUAAUACAGUUCUGUGCAUCCUUAAUUUCUGACAGCAUGUUCAUGUCUGGAAUAUUGAUUGCAACUGCUACUGCCAAGCACACAGAUCCCAUCACUCUUGCCUGCUUUUCCAUUAUGUCAUAAAUAGAUAGCACAGCUCAAUAGAUCAUACAGAUAGAUGGAGCUGGACUACUUACAUGGACUUGCAGGAAAAAACAACUAAUAAUAACCAAGUAUCUAACUUGAUUGGACAAAUUACUUGAAUGAUUUUUAAAAGCUCUGAAAUGAGUAACUUCGAAGAGUGAAUAACGGCGAAAACAAGGCCAGGUCCAACAGUAGUAAUUAGAUUCAAGUAAAAAAUAAAACUCAAUUGGAAAGUUUUAAAGUCUUUGUAUUAUGCAAGUAACCUGGAAAGUUUGUGGUACCAGAAAUGGGAGUUCAAUUAAAUAUUUGGAAAGCCAAAAACAAACAAACAAACAAACAAAAAAAAACCAAAAACCAAAAAACAAACAAACAAAACAAAACCCAAAACCCAAAACAAACAAAACAACAACAAAAAACCAGACAUGCAAGCAGAAUCAUUUAGUAUCCUGCUAAGCUGAAAACACAUUCAAACUAAAACGAGAACUCAGGUGGUUGAAUAAGCAAUAGGAAAAAAGGAACAGAGUUGUCAAAAUAAAAUAUAUUUCAGACUGACUUGAGUAAAAUUUUAAUCCUUGAUUUCAUUUUUCGUGUUUGUACAUUUGUUCCCAGCAGUAAAAUCACAACAUCAUUUCACAGAAAGGUAAGGAAAGGAAAGGAAAGGCAAAGAAAAAGUGCUGGUGAUUCAGCCUCCAGGCUCUCCAUAAAACCUACUAGGAAGCAGAAUGCAAAGUUGUUUUUGUAUGUCCUACUGUGACUUAUCAUGUUAUUAGAAGUCUAUUUCCUCAUCUUUCUGGGGAAAAAAAAGAAAAAAGUGACAACUCAGGAAGAUCACUGUUGGGCUUCAUUCUUCCAUGGAAUUAAAAAAAACGAAACAAAACAAAAAAAAUCCAAAGCAAACAACAAAAAAAGCAACCUGUACUCAGCAGCUAUGGUUUGCAACACUGCACCAAGAUUAGGUUAGAUAUUCAUUUUAAGAGCAGGCCAUUACUUUUGCAGUACUUCUGCAGGAGUAAGACUAAGGAAAUAGCCUAACAGAUCUCAUUCAUAUGCAGCAACUCACCAGUCUCAAUAGAUAGGAUUAACUUGGAUUCUUCACAGGGAAUCCAAUUUCAUAAUUAUUUUGUUUAGUUUUAUCAUUUUAUUUUAUUUUUACUUUAUUUAAUGAAUUUAAAUGAAAAUAUCUAGAAAUCUAUCAGGAACUGGGACUCCAUUUUGUCCCCUGUAUGUGGGGCCUACUAUAAAACUGCAAAACCAAAAUUGUGGUUCAUAUUCUUUUAACAUCUCCAAUCUAAAGAGGAAAGAUAAAACUGAGAUACAGAGGAUUUGGUGUCCAAGGAGCCAGUGGAAUGCCUAAGGGCAGUUUAAAGCAAACUUGAAUGUUUACACAGUCUCAAACCACCCUUCUUUUCUGAACACACCAGGGGAGACAAAAUUUGUCAUCCUAGCAGGCAGGAGUGUAAGUACAUCUCCUGCAUACCUGCUGCCAAAGGGUAUUUGUAUGUUUGAAAGUUACUGCGGCAAAAGAAUGUCAAGCAAUGACUUAAAGACUGAUGAAGUGCUUUCUGGACAUCACUGAUGAAGUUCUCCUUAAAGCAGGUGGCCUAGCAUCAAACAAAAUAUAAAUAUACCUGCUGGAAAAAUAGAAUGAUUAGUUAACAUCGUAGGGCAAACAAAUGUUAAACUGACCUCAAGUCCAAAGGAGAGAUGAAAGACAGAUGGGGGCUGGUGAAUGCACUUGAUAAUGUUGUUGGGAGCCUUAAAUCUGGUGGACAGAGAAACAGGAACCUUUGGAUGGAUGGAUGUAUAGGGUGACAAGGAUGAAACUAUGGAAAUCUGAAAUACUACCUCCUGGUACAUUUGCAUUUCAGGAAUCUGAGCACUUAAAUAGAGAGAGGCAGUGGCGAUGAAAUGGAAGAUAAGUUUUACUCAUGAAUUAGUUGUAAUCAUCUGUAAUAUUGUGUUAGCUGGAGAGCAAACGUUUAGGAGCAUGAUCAGGAAGAUUAGUUGAUUUUCCACUUGUAUCAUAUAACGUAUGAAUACAACAAAUUCUGCAACAUAUUAAAUAUAUAUGGAAUUAUUUUAUUUUAACUUAUAGCAAAGGUGAUUUACUUCUUUACACAAGAAAGAUUCCUAUGACCAUUUGUAGUCAUAGAACUUAGCAGUCUAAGUUCCAAAGUUGAAACUUUAAUUGGAACUAUAGGAAAUCUCCUCUGAUAGCUCUGAUAAUAGAUAGCUCCUCUGAUACAUCUAACCAGUAAUAAUUUCACAUCUAUAGAUUUUUGAUGUGGCCUUUUAAUGUACUUUUGGAUCCUCCUGCAUGAUGAUGAUUCUGGUCUUGCAAGCUGCUGUGUGUAGGCAGCCCCUGACACCAGAGACCACUGCUGUGGGAGUUAGAAAGUCUGUGCUCAGAUGGAAAGGUCAAACUGCACAGAAUAGCUUGCAGGUUCAGAAGCCUGCCUGAAAUACUCUCAGCUUAGAACAAACCUGAAUUACUUUGUGAGUAUGAAACAUUUAACACGAGAGCCUGCAAAAAGUGGUAAAGGUUUUGUAUAUAGCUGUCUAAGAUGAGCUAACCUAAGACUUAAUUAGCUAUUAUAUACAAAGAAACCCUUUUUAAUAAAUAAUUAAAUAAUUAAAAUCCUGGCCUGUGACAGUAGCAAAAUCAGUUUUGCAGUUGGAAGUCUACUUCUGUGCUUUCUUUAUUAUUAAAUACAUCAUUUUAAGAAGGCAAUUUUGAACUGAAUAGAUGUGAAUCUAAGAACACCAAAACCCACUUUGUGUCUUGAUAGAAACAUUUUUUGUGUGUGUUUUGAUCCUGGAAAUUUCACAUCUCUCUUUUAACUUUCUUAAGAAAUAACAUUACUUCUGUUUCUCCAGUCGUUUACUUGCUUAAACUCCAGAGCAUACUGGUGUGCUGCAUAAUUGGAACAAAGCUUAAUAUUGUAAAUAAAAACCUUUACCUCCAAAUCUGCAGAGGAACUGUAUUUAAAGAAAUGAAACAAAAUAGAAUUUAAAUGCUUAAAUACAAGAUAAUGUUUAGAAACUUUAGCUGCCCACAAUCAAACAUUCCCAGCUGAAGUUUGAUUACUUUGGCUUGCAUUUAUCUGAUACUAAAAAAAAUAAGGAUUGGUUGUCAUCGAGGUAUUGGAAAGUGACAAAUAUAAUAUAAUUUCUAAAAAGAAUGACCAUCAACCCAGUACUGCAUACAGUAUGGAUGAAAGAAAGCCCUUUUUACCUAGCUUCAAAUUCCCCACAGCCUUCUGGAUUUUACAUAUUUACCACAGGUACUCAUAGAACUGAGUUGUUUGAAAUGUGAAAAUGUCUGAAUGUGUUUUCAGGAGCAGCCUGAAUAAUGUGGACAACACAUCAACAGAGAGCAAAACUAAUACAGAUACACUGAAUAAAAAGGACAGAGAGGGAGAAAAAGAUGUAGAUGAAAAUGCAUAACAACAGGGCAUAAAAACAGUGUCAAUAUCCUUAUCUAUUUAAUUAAUGUUGGAAAUAAGUUUAGUUAAAAUUAUGCAAUAAUAAUUAAUUAACAAUCUAACUCUAGAUUCUCAUGUCAUUAUUCAUCUUUAAAAAUAUUUGAUACAGUGGUUAUUGAUGAGUUUUGUAUUUUUCUAGUAGCUUUGCUAACCCCUGAUUAUUACUGCUCAUAUAUUGACCUUUUUGCCAUAUGUUUUGAUCAACUUUGAAUUAUUAGUAUUUAAAUUUUCUAACAGAUUAUUGAAGUCUCAAAAUACAAUGGUUUUUGUAGCAAAAUCAUUAAUGUGAUAAGAUGCAGAUCAAAAGGAGUGUUCACCACCGUGAAUACAAAUAGUACAAUAUGAAUUAAUAUGAAAAAAUGAAACACUGUGAACAACAGACUUCCAUUAAUGUGUUAGUGAGCAUAUUAAUGACAAAAUUGCUGAAAGAUACAAUGAAAAGUCUCAACUAAGAAAAAAAAUAUGGAACAUUUCUCAGAAUAUAAAUGAAUUCCUAAAUGAAACAAUUUAAAGGUUAAUUUGGUAUUAUUUCCUGGAUAUGUGUGUCAAAUUUAUUCAUUGAUCAAAAGCACUCUUUUACACAAACAAACAGAUAAAUGCCCUUGAUAAUAAACAGCAAUUGAAAUGCUACAUCAGGUGAUAGUGCAGACUACUUUCCUUUGGUCUAGUGAGUCAUUCAGGGAGUAAGACUAUCUUAUCCACACAGACCCAGUGUACUGAAAUUUAUGACAGUCAUUCACAGUUUGGGGGCUGCUAGAUUGCAUACGUUCUUUCAAAGAGAUCUUAUUAGGUAUUCUGCUGCUGAGGCAUCUGCUGGUCAGGGUAAUCUUGAUGCAGGUCAUGUAGAAGACUUGUGGACAUGAAGAACAGCAUUUUUCCAUUACUAGCUUGAUUCCAAAACCAAUGAACUAUUAGCUAUGGUGGUGCAGGAGACUUUUCACCAGUGUUUUAUUAAGAAGUCCAGGGUCUCUAAAUUUGGCAGUGCCCAUGGGCCAUAGUUAUAUUCUACUAAUGAGAAAAUUAUGAUACUGACAUCAGCUUCCCAAUCCUUUUCCCUAAAGAAAACACAUAGCAUAUUAAUCUGUAUAAUUAAUGUCAUGUUUCUUCAUAUCCUCUCUCUCCAAUUAUCCUCAAAAUAAUUCUGUUUGACUCCAAAUACCUGAAAUCUUUAAAAACUUUAUACCAAUAUCUCUAUGGUAGAUCUCUUUGAGUGUAGUUGUAACUCAUAACAAAAACAUUGUAUUUCUGUUAACGUAUGGAUAAUUACAUCAGAAGUCACAUACAGACCAUCAUGAGAAUAAUGCUCGUUCUUAUUGCUGUAUUUUGAAAUUUAAAGAUCCUUAGCACUGAAUAAGUGACAGAAGUAUGCACAAUAAAUUUAUACUAUUGCUUUUAAACUCAUAUCUGCCUUUUUGAUAGUAGAGAACAGCAGAGAAAAUAAUUAAAUACCUACAAAAAUAUUUUGUUUGUAUGUGGUGUUUUGGAGAGAAAGGUAGGUAAGAUUUAUUUAUAUUAAUAAUGUGUCACCAUUUUAUGUACCAGAAACUGCAUAGUUAAUAACUGCACUUGAGUUACAGUGAAGAUUUUCAAUACUUUCAAAUGAAAUUUUAUAUAAAUUCUGAUUUGUUUUAAUAAAAUUUAAAUGUUUGGUAACAGCUUAUUCUUUUUGUUGGAGAGUUUUAUGUUCCAUAGUUACAUUGACUUAAAUUGGCUGAGAUGUGUGAGUUUUAAUGAUUCACCUAG
ensembl:lncRNA